AUUGAACGCUGGCGGCAUGCCUUACACAUGCAAGUCGAACGGUAACGGGCCUUCGGGUGCCGACGAGUGGCGAACGGGUGAGUAAUACAUCGGAACGUGCCCGAUCGUGGGGGAUAACGAGGCGAAAGCUUUGCUAAUACCGCAUACGAUCUACGGAUGAAAGCAGGGGACCGCAAGGCCUUGCGCGGACGGAGCGGCCGAUGGCAGAUUAGGUAGUUGGUGGGAUAAAAGCUUACCAAGCCGGCGAUCUGUAGCUGGUCUGAGAGGAUGAUCAGCCACACUGGGACUGAGACACGGCCCAGACUCCUACGGGAGGCAGCAGUGGGGAAUUUUGGACAAUGGGCGCAAGCCUGAUCCAGCCAUGCCGCGUGCAGGAUGAAGGCCUUCGGGUUGUAAACUGCUUUUGUACGGAACGAAAAGCCUUCUUUUAAUACAGGAGGGUCAUGACGGUACCGUAAGAAUAAGCACCGGCUAACUACGUG
rnacentral:rRNA from 1 species